rfam:Brachypodium distachyon strain Bd21 chromosome 4, whole genome shotgun sequence.
GAUAUACUCCCUCCGAUCCCAAAUUGUUGUCGAAAUAUUACAUGUAUCUAGACGCUUUUUAAGAAUAGAUACAUCCAUAUUUUUUCAAAUUUAAGUCAAGAAUUUAGGAUCGGAGGGAGUAUAUG